rnacentral:lncRNA from 11 species
AUUUCCAAUCAGCAUCUUCACCUGAGCAGCAGCAGCAGGAUAAGUGGAGCUGUUUUUGAUUGUGGGGGAACUGGGGAACAUAAAAUUUAGAGAUCUCCCUUUGACCAAUACUAUAGGAGUCUACACCCAGUCCCAGCCAACAUGGACAGUGAGCAAGAAUGGUGGGAAGGGUAAUCCAACAGAGGCUGACAGAUUUAAGGUUCUCUGUUCCUGCUGUUGUGUAUCCAGAUGCUUCUCAUAGCCUCCCUGCUCACUACAAAGGACAGAAUGACCAGGG